UACGUAGGGUGCAAGCGUUAAUCGGAAUUACUGGGCGUAAAGCGUGCGCAGGCGGUUGUGCAAGACAGAUGUGAAAUCCCCAGGCUUAACCUGGGAACUGCAUCCGAUACUGGAUGGCUUGAAUUCGGGAGAGGGAUGCAGAAUUCCAGGUGUAGCGGUGAAAUGCGUAGAUAUCUGGAGGAAUACCGGUGGCGAAGGCGGCAUCCUGGACCGACAUUGACGCUGAACGGCGAAAGCUAGGGGAGCAAACGGG
rnacentral:rRNA from 1 species